AACGAACGCUGGCGGCGUGCCUAACACAUGCAAGUCGAACGGGAAAACCCGCAAGGGUGAGUACAGUGGCGCACGGGUGCGUAACACGUGGGUAAUCUGCCCAGAAGCCCGGAAUAACUCCCCGAAAGGGGUGCUAAUGCCGGAUGAGACCACGGGGACUUCGGUUCCUGGGGGAAAAGGUGGCCUCUGUAUACAAGCUAUCACUUCUGGAUGAGCCCGCGGCCCAUCAGCUAGUUGGCGGGGUAAUGGCCCACCAAGGCUACGACGGGUAGCUGGUCUGAGAGGACGAUCAGCCACACUGGAACUGAGACACGGUCCAGGCUCCUACGGGAGGCAGCAGUGGGGAAUCUUGCGCAAUGGGCGAAAGCCUGACGCAGCAACGCCGCGUGUGUGAUGAAGGUCUUCGGAUCGUAAAGCACUGUCGGGAGGGACGAAUAAGGGCCGGGUGAACAAUCCGGUUCGACGACGGUACCUCCAGAGGAAGCACCGGCUAACUCUGUGCCAGCCGCCGCCGUAAGAC
rnacentral:rRNA from 1 species